GCCUCUCAAAUAACUAGCUCAUAUCAUCAUAACCCGUGCCUUACGUAACUCUCCUGUAAAUAAAAUUCCUGUUCUAUGAAAUAAAAUCUAACCAAUUCAUCAAUUCAAAACAGUCUCUUUCUCAGGUAAAACCUUGAAUUUCUGAUAAAUUCAGUUAUGUUCUUUCAUUAUGUUACUAUCUUUUUAAUAUCUUUCAGGAUUUAAUCAGUAGUAAUAUUAAUUAGUGUUCAUUGAAUAGUGUUAAUUACUGAUUUUUAAAAAUCAAUAGUAUUUACUAAUAUGCUUAGUUUUAUUUAGAAUAUGCUGACUUCGAUUUACAAGAUCUUGCCGUUUGAUAUAAGACUAUUGGUAAUUUAUGAUUUGUUUGACUUUGGAGUGUGUUCUUUAAUUACUCCAUUGAAGUGUUUCAAAAAGAAAAGAUAAACUUAUUAUUAUUAUUAUUAUUAUUAUUAUAUAUGUAUAUUAUAUUAUUAUUUUGCUUUCAAAUUUCUAAUUAACUAGUUAGUACUGCAACUACUGAUCCCUGUCCUUUUAAUGACUAUUUGUUUUGUUUGAGGAUGGGAGACGUUAUUUUUUGGUCUGAUUUUAAAAUUGAAAGCCAAGUGCCUGAAUCUAUUGGCAUUUCUCUCAAGGACAACUUAAAAUAGCCGAAUAUUCAGUUAAAAAAUUUAAAUUUAUUUCGUUUUUAAUUAUUCAUUUAAUUUUAUAUUAUAUUUUAAUUUAAUUAUUUUAUAAAUAAAAAAAUUGACAUAGUAAAAGAAUAAAAAAAUAAAUUAAAUAAAAACUGACAUAUAAUAAAAACUGAUAAAAAUAACAGAGAGAAAAUACUAAUUGAAAAACCAACAAAAAAAUUAAUUAAAAAAAAUAACAUGUCAAAAAUUAGUCAACCAUAAAUAAAAUUAAAUAAUUAAAAUAAAAUAAAUUAAAGUUUAUACCAAAAAUAAAACUUAAUGACGUUCACAUAAUAAAAGGAAAAUACUUUGGUGUGCUUAAAUUUACAUGUGCUUACUUUUAUUGAAAACACGCAUUACUCACACAAACAUGAUCAUAAGUUGGUGAGUAACGAACUUUAUUUACUAGCACAGCGAUAUAGUAACCUGCCCUGCAGGUGGGCAUUCAGAAGAAGAAUGUUCGGAUUUGGCACUGCUCGGGCAGGCCGCAGGAAGAUGGAAUGCUCCUUGCCUUCUGCAUCACCUCCUGGUACUGUUCUCUUUGCAUCUGCUGUUCACUCUCAAUCUGCUUCUCGACUGCAACCUGGAGUGCCUCACAUUGGCAUUCAUCUCUCACUUGCUUUAAUUCAUUGCAGCACUCCUGAAGCUGAUGCCUCUCCUGCUGGUCUUUUUCUCCGGGCAUCUCCAACACUUCUCCGUCUGUUGAUCUCCUUGAACUUGAUUGCGACAAGUACAUCUGACAGGCCCUGAACUCCUUCCCGCGAAGAUCCCGGAAGCAUCUCUCCUGUGUAUUGGUGUCGUCGACCUCAACAGUGGUGAUAGUGGUUCUGUAGGCAAAAGAGGCAUUGGCAAUGAUGAAUAAGAGAACGCUAAUAAGAGCUACUGCGGGUAUGAGCUUCGCCAUUGUUAUAAAACUUACAGUAUCAUAAUAGCUCCUAGAGGGUAUUAGAUUAGUGGAUGGAGAAGGAGAGGUCAAAGGUAAUGGGGGUAUUAUAUGAGAUUUUGGGGAGUGCAUGUGAAGAACGUGGAAGAUGUAUGAAAUGGCGAAUCACUUCUGGCAAUUUUAUGUGGCUGCAUAUGUUUUUGAGGUAUGGUUUAUGCUUACACGUAGGGCAGCAGCAUGCAAAUUCUGGUUUGAUAAUAUUUUUCAUUUUUGUAUGGAUUUAGCGUUUAAUAAUGAUGUUCUAUUUAAAUAUAACCUUUAUGCAACUAGUGGGGAAAUCAAUUUUGACGAUUCUUUGGUCUACUUUUUUUUUUUCUUAAACACUUUUAGUCUGUCUUUAUUAUUAUUAUUAUUUUAUUUGCAAACAAUGAACUAAAAUGUUUUUCUUUUUAACGGUCAUAAAUUUAAAUUUAAGUUUUAGAGUGAAUUUUAUACCCCUAGUUCACAACGAUUUAAUUUCUUUUCAAUAUUUUUAUGAAUUUUUUUUAUUAAUUUAUUUACAUAAAUUUCUUUUUGAGCAAUUGAUUUAGUAUAUAAGAUUUAUAAAUUUUAUUACAUCUUUUAAUGUAAAUUUAAUUUAAAUUUCAUAUAUCUUUUAAUCUAAACUUAAUACAAGUUUUGUAAAUUUUUAUUAAAUAAAUAUGUAAAACCCGAUCUUAUACGUAUAGGAGAUUGACAUUGUAGAUUUAUACUGUAAACGACAUGCUAACAUACCAUCAAUAUAAUUAACACAAGUAUAACCUAAUGAAUUAAGACAUCCAACAAACAACAAUAAGCAUUUAACACUUAAUUUUUAAUAAGGAAUAUCGGCGCCUGAGUUAAAAGGUAAGAGUGACAAAAAUAGAUCUAAUAGUCCAUAUGCUAAGAAAAGAAUAAUAUACAGAUUAACAUAAAUAAUAGUAAAGUCUAUUAGCCUAACCUUCACUCAACCUGAUUUUUUUGAAGUGGAAAUAAGGAAAACGUUUUAUAGAAAUGAACUAACUGAGCAACAAAAUUAAUCUAAAGAAGUUAAUAAUAAAGGGGUCAGUAUAAACUCAUGAGAAGAUAAGGAUCUAAGAAGAGUGAAUAAACAAGGGAUUAUUUACAUUAUUUAAGUAAAAUUCUAACUGGCUGGAUAAAUAAAAAUUUAAAUAAAACCAUAAACAUUAGCAUCUAAAAUAGAUUAUUAAAAAUCGAUUUGUUGAAUUGUAAUAUAAGUAUUGAAUUUAAUAACAAUGUUAUAUAUAUACUCAUGAAAGCAUCCAGCAGAUUCCUAGCAAUUUUGGAGGUUGAGAUGUCUCAUCUAUGCAGAACUUAAGAGUAGACAAUCAGUUAUAUACGCGUAGACAAACUUCCAUAAGGCACCACCUAGUAUAUAUCUUUAAAGACACUAUGUGCACUAAGCAUUGUCCUAAAGACAAUAUAUCUUACUAUCACCUGAGGUCCAAUGUGUGGUCAUAUAGGCUACAAUCAUGUAUAUUCAUUUAUCCAGCUAAUAAAAUUCUCUAAUUUACAAUAAAUAGAAAAGACUAAAAAUACUGUUAUCCGUUUCCAAUUUCUCUCAUAGAAAAAUAAAGGCAAUAAUUUUAAAUUAUAAUUGAAUAAAAGACUUGCAUAUAAAUAAAUUUGUAAAAGCAUACAUAUAGUAUAUUUAAAAACUAUGAUGAUAUAUAUUUAUCCACUCACCUAGAUUGUAAAGGAGGAAAGACUCCUAGCUAGCUGAUGGACUGCUAGAACUUGCAGUAAAUUCAGAAUCCUUACCUAAAAUAAAAAAAUAAAUGUAAAAAGAAAUAAGGAUUCAAACCAGCUAAAUUAAAUUUGAAAAAGCGACUAAACAUGAAUGCAAUGCAGACGAUUUUCUAAAAUUCUACUAAAAAUUCGACAGUUCUUAUAAUUGGAUUAGUUCUCCCAAUAAAACAAGUCUAUAACUUGUAGAAAAUCACUUCUAUAUUUAUCCAAAAUUCACUCGAGCUUCCAACUACAUAUAAAGCCCAAUUAGACCAAUUCUAGAGCAAAACAAAAUUAUUGAGCCUUACAGAGCUUUCUUUAAUAAAUUAUAAUAAUAUUUAGAUUUAAAUAAAUUAUUAUCAUAUUCAAAUUUCAAAUAAUUAAAUUGUCAAUAUUUAAAUAAUUCUCCACAACUCACCAGCUAAUUUAAUAAAUUUAUUUCUAGCAUUUAAAUAAUUUAACGAUUUUAUAAUCACUUGAUAACUCACAAUUAAUAAUAAAUUAACCGAAUCUAAUAUUAUAAAUUUAAUUCUACAAUUCAUACUAAAAAUAAAUUAUUCCGUCCAAAAAUUUUGAAAUUAAUUUGCGGACAUUUUGCCCCUCGACACGCAAAUGGGAGAGCGGCCACUUGCGAUGGCCGGAAAAUUUCAAUUUCGCCAAAAAAUGCAAUCCCAUCUUAUUUUUGGCUCCUUUAUCCCACCUUAAAAGCUAAGAAAAGGAAGAAGUGGUCCUAAGUCUAUAAAUAGUGGAUCUUCUCUCUCCUUUUCCAAGAGUUAAGAAAAACAAUAGGCCUUAUAUUUCUAUGAGCUAAAUUGUAUUUCUCUUAGUAAUAUGUCUUUUGUAAUUCUAUUGAAUUAAAAAAAUAUUAUUUUGGUAGUGCUCGAGAAAGUAAGCAUAUUUUUUGCCGAACCUCGUCUGGUGUUUCUUUUUUUAUUAUGGAUAAUUACAUGUGAUAUAUUGUAUCUAAAAUUACCUAAGAAUUUAUUUCUUAGUUGUGAUUUUUCGUGUAAUUUAUUCGAUUGCAGUGGAAAGGAACCCGAUUUCCACGACAUCCCAGACCACCCAUUCGGAGCUCUCGACGUCAGGAGUCCAUAUUCGCCUAACUCCUCACUGUUUGUGCAAGUCGGACCGGUGAAGAAUCGGCUCUGGCGCGAGGCGAUCCCACUCCUCUGGCAAUGGCAGCGGCUACUAAAGCUUCAGGCAGACUCCUUUGAGGCUGGGAGUUCAUUUUCAGCAACCUCCCACGCUGAUAAUGCCUGCAAUAACCCGAGUAAGACUGGCAGCCGUUUCUCCCCCUUGCUUCUUGAUUUUUCGGCGCGAAAAAUAGUCAAGCUCCAUUAGAGAUGAGUUCAAUUGGUAGGAGACAACGAGGACAUGGUGUUUUGGGUGCUAACAUGGUGGUGAGGGUAUGGAGGUCAAUGGGUAGCGGGGAGGGGAGGAAGAGAAUGUGUAUGCUAAAGGGGAGAGUGAGAGGGGCUAAAAAGAAAAGGGAGAAAAUUGCACUUUUGGUCCCUAUUUUAUUUCCUAUGUAUGCUAGAGUUUUGUUUGUUAAAAGUUAAGAAAUUUUUUAGCUAAGUUGCUUAAUUCAAGAGUUUAAUGGGAAUUUAGCUAAGAUUCUUGGAAUAUUAAGAAUAAUCAAUAAUGCUUAACUGUGUAGUAAAAUUGAUUAUGUAUUUUUAAUAAGGAUAUUGUGAUAUAAGUAAUUAAGAUUUAAAAUAAUUAUACAUUCAUUCAAUAUAUAAUAAACUAAUAAAAUAAGUAAACUAAUAUGCAUAUAUAUAUAUAUCCAUAUUAUAUUUAAUAAAUACAUAUAAUAAAAUACUGGUAUAAAAAUAUGAAAAAUAAAUUAAAAUAAUGGUAGAGAAACAAGAGUGUUAUAAAAUAUGUAAAUUAUAUAACACUUUUAAUUCAUCUAGCUUUAUUUUUAUUUUGUUUCUAUUUGUAACUGUUGAUUGCAGAUUAAAUUACUUAUAAUACCUUAAUAAUAAAUAAUAUUUUAGAAAAUAGAUUUAAGUUUUAAUGGUGUCAAUUAGAUGCUAAAAUAAUAAGAUAACAUUGAAAAAAUAUAUUAUCAGUCUUUAUGUUUCUUUGAAGUUUGACGGUCAGCUUUUUAAAGCUGGAGGUCUCGAAUCCUUAUUGUGCGGUAGUCAGAGGUCUUGUGGCAAUUAGCUAAAUUUUAAGUGGCAAAAGUGUUUGCUCUUGAGAGUGAGAGAUUUUGAAUCACUGUUAAGUGGAAGUCAGAAGUCUCGAAUCCUUAUUGUGUAGUCCAAGUCUCGAAUUCUUAUUGUGUAGUCCAAGUCUCGAAUUCUUAUUAUGUAGUCCAUGGCUUAUUAGUGUUCGAUGAGAGUCAGAGGUCUUGAACUACUGUUAAGUGAAACUCAGAAAGCGUUGGAUGAGUUAAUUGAGUUGGAUGAGUUAAAAAAAAAAGUAUAUGACUGAAAAAGCAAUAUAUGUUGUUUCAGCAACGGAACUUCCAAAAGACUUGAAAUAUGAUAUCUCAUCUUGUUAAAAACCCCACCAACUUGAUGAACACUUAAAGAAAAUAUUUUGAAUUUAAGACAAUGAAUUGGAAAUGGGCAUUAGACUCGGUUUUAAAUCGAAAAAGCACAUCUAAAACAGAUGAAAAGAAAAAAAUAUUGUGAGAAAAUAUUAUAGAAACAAACUUCAACAAAGGAUUAAUUCACUUUUCACUUUGCAAAAUAUAGAAUUGAAUUUGAAAAACCUGUGGAGAGUAAUAGUAAUUUUUCCUGUUUUAUAUUUAUAUGAGGUCUGCAAACUAGUAGUGCAUUUUUGCCCCAUAAUAAUGACUAUUAAAUGAGGAGUUCAUGAACUGGAUAUUGCUCCUGAUGGGUUACGUGGUUUACACAGGCAGGUGUUAGCCACCGCAGGAUGGUUACUGUUAGUGUUUAAGGCCUUGCCUCCAUCUGUACCCCAAGAAAAAAAAAGAAAGAAAUUCCAUGCUUUGUAAAGGGCCGUUAUCUUGAUCUGAUUUUUUUGGCUUCUCUUGUACAUUGUCUGCCUGAUAUUGAAAAUCAAGCACCUGAGCUUUUUGACAUUUUUUUCUCCGAAGAAAAAUCUAAAAGUACUGGAAUUUUACUUCAUUUCAUUACAGAACACCAGAAGAUAACAUACUACCAAAAAUCUACUUUUUGUUGAAAAUAAACACAUUGCGCAAUGAACUUUAUUUACUGGACUGCCACAUUGAUACGUACAGUACCUGCCCUGACAGGCAUUCAGAACAAGAAUGUUUGGGCUAGGCACUGCGCCCGCAGAUCGCAGGAAAAUGAUAUCCUACCUGUCCUUACAAGCACUCUCUGGUAAUCUCCCAUUUGCGUCUGACGUGCACGGUCAAGCCACUCUGCGAUUAUAGCCUGGAUUGCCUCACAUUGGCAAUCUUCUCUUACUGGCUGUACUUCUUUGCAACACUCCCGGAGCUGCUGUCUCUCCUGCUGGUUUUUCUCUCCGGGCAUCUCUAACACAUUUUUGUCCGUUGAUGUCCUCGAACUUGCCGCUACGUACAUCAGACAGGCGCUCAAAUCCUUCCCCUCAAGUUCCUGGCGGCAAUUUUCUGAAGGCGACCAUAUUCCCGUCCUACUUGGAUUGGUAUCAUCGACCUCAACAGUUGUGGUGGCGGUUGUGUAGGCAAAAGAUGCAUUGGCAAUAAUGACCAAGAGAACGCUAAUGAGAGCUACUGUAGGUAUGAGCUUUGCCAUGGUUACAGAACUUAUAAUAUCAUAAUAGCACCUAAAGAAUAUAUAUAUACAUAUUGUUCUAGGAGCGGAUGAAGAAGGUGAGGUUAAAGGCAAUCAGUAUUUGAGGAGUGCAUGCAUAGAAUUUGGAAGAUGUAUGAAAUGGCUAGUCACUUCUCGCAAUUUCAUGGGGUGGCUACAUCUGGUUUUGCGGUCGGGUUUAUGCUUACACGUCGGGCAGCAACAUGCAAAUUCUUAAAAAUAAUGCUGAUUAUCAGGUCAAAUUAAGUUUUUAGCAUACGAAGGCAUUAUAAAUUCGGAUUUAUAAUGAGCACAAAAAAUUGAUUGAAAAGAUGCAUUUUGGUGAGGAGGCCCAACGAGGCCUCAGUCACUAAUUUAAUUUAAGAAUUGCAUAAGUAAUAAAAAGAAGCCCUUUUAUAUUAAUCGGACAUGUAUUAUUAAAUUUUUAUACUUUAAAAUAGUUCAAUGUCACUUUUUAAUUUUUUAAAUAGUACAAAUAAACUUAAAAUUUUAGCACCGUUAGAAUAUCAAUAAAUAAUAGAGUCUACUUAAAAUACUAACUAAUCAUAGGAUGACAUGUCAAUAUUAUAUUUUUCUUAUUUCAUUCAAAAAAAUUAAUUAUGACAUCAUAAUAAAUAAAUAAUAUUACUUUUUCUCUAACUCAUUUUUUUCACCUUUUUUACCAUUCUUCAAUCAAAUGAAACACUAUGUUUACAGAAUAAAAUAUAAUCAGAAUAAAAAUAUAAUCAAUCAAAAAGAAAUUGUUGAAUGUGAAGCAAUCCAACUCACCUUUUGCAGGAACAUCAUUGCCAUGAAGUAUCGCCCAGCCGUUGAUGCUACAUGUUCUUGCAUAUGGCUCUCAAUGCGAAUUCAAAUGCGAUGGUCGUCACAGAUCUCAUAAAUUCAGAAUUGAAAGAAUAAUCAGUGGAUUACUUGUUUCCAACAGGUCCAAUUUCAAGAGCAGAUGCAUGAUCUAGUGUGGGAUUUGGACUGAAUGCUUCCUGUAUCAGCUUAUAAUGCAUCAGCAAAGAACAAAGAGAAAUUUACAGAGAAGAACAUGAUUGUCUAAACUUUGCAGAAUCAAGGAGAAUAAUGCGACAGUCAGAAGUAGAAGAGGUGUAUAAUCAGCAAAAGAUGCACCAAUGGCAUCAGUAGCGAGGGCAAGGCGAGUUAACGGCAUCAAUAGCAAAGGCGAGAGCAGUAACGACAGUGAUGGUGAAAAAAUGACCAGUAAUAGUGACCGGCUUGUAGUAGUGGUUGGCAGUGGUGCUCAAUGGUUGUGCGUUAAAAGUUGAUUUUUUUGAAUUUAAUUAAUUACAUUUUUUAUCUUAUGCCAUUUAAGAACAUCACCCUUCUUGUCUUAGGAUGCUAAUCGCGAAAUAUGACUUUCGUUUUCCCAUUGAAGUUAGAAAGAAGUAUCAGAAAAGCCCAAAAACAGUAAUUUCGCUGGCGAUUUGCCAUGUUCAGCCACCUCAAAGUGUGAAGCUGACAACUCGCAUUAGCAGCACUUCAUUAUCGUCGGUUUUCACGUUAAUUAGACAUUGAAUGAGAAAGACUCGGAAAAUGAAAUUUAAGCUAUGAUUUUUUCUCCACCGGUUACCUUCGCUUUCAUCAUCGAUCGAGUAUACCAUAAUAUUAUCAUGCCCCUUUCUUUCUCAAUCUCAAUUUGUUUCCUUAGUAGAAGAUGGCAUAUAUAUAUAUAUAUAUAUAUAUAUGAGUAAACAAAUUUCUAUUAUUUUUUAUCAUAUGCAUGCUUCUUAUAAAUUCUAGAUAGGUCCACAAGUUAUAUAUGCCAGGUGGAUAUUUUUAGACUUUUAUUUUUUCUAAAUAAUUAAGUAUUUUAUUUUGAUUCAUUAUCAUAAUUAUCAAAUCGUAGUGUAUAACUUCAAAAAUUAAAUUAACUCUCAUCAAAAUGUUGAAAUUCUGAAAAAACAUACUGACAAUUAGAUUAACUGGAAAAAUAUAUUGAUUAGAAAUAAAAGAAAUUUAGUAAAAUAUUUAAUAAUAAUUUUAAGAAUUAAAUUAAACUUUUUUUUAUUAAUUAAUCCUUAAACGAAUUAACCAAAACAGAUGAAAAGAGAAAAAAAAAUUAUAGAAACAAAUGUCAACAAAGUAUUAAUUCACUUUUCGAUUUUCAAAAUAUAGAAUUGAGUUUGAAAAACCGAGUAAAUAGUAAUUUUUCUAUGAGGUCUGCAAACUGGCAGUGCUAUUUUGCCUCAUUAUGACUAUUAAUUGAAGAGUCUGGCAAGUUCUAAUAAGGCAUACUUGCUGAUCAUGACUUCUCAUUUGGAGUUGAUGACCUAGAUAUUGCUCCUAAUGGGGAACGUGAUUUACUCAGGCAGGAUUUGAAAAGGGCGUUAUCUUGAUCCGAGUUUUCUGCUUGAUAUUGAAAAUCAAGCACCUGAGUUUAUUGACAGUUUAUUUCUUUGGAGGAAUUUUACUUCAUUUCAUUACAUAACACCAGAAAAUAAUAUACUAACUAAUACAGGUUAUGUUUACUGUGUUGUAGUUACCGUAGUUAAUUAUUGAUGGUUGUUAUAUAGUUAGUUAUUGGAAUUAACACGUGGCAUAACUCUAUUGGUCAUAGGGUUUGUAAUUUGGCUAUAAAUACAUGCAUAAUGUAUGAGCACAGUAACAAGAAUAAUAAUUCAGUUUUCUUCAGUUUCUUUUCUUCGAAGUUUUCUGUUUCUUUUUUAUCUCAACAUGGUAUCAGAGCUAUUUUAGCUCAUUCAAUUCCGCAAUUUUCUGUUCAAAGUGUACUCUGAAAGCUAGCCUUUUUCUGGGUUUUUUCUUGUUCUCUUUAAAAAUAUAUUUCUUUUGUUCUUUUCUUAAUCAUUUACGAUCAAGAUUUGAUCUUUUACUUUGAUAAUCNNNNNNNNNNNNNNNNNNNNNNNNNNNNNNNNNNNNNNNNNNNNNNNNNNNNNNNNNNNNNNNNNNNNNNNNNNNNNNNNNNNNNNNNNNNNNNNNNNNNNNNNNNNNNNNNNNNNNNNNNNNNNNNNNNNNNNNNNNNNNNNNNNNNNNNNNNNNNNNNNNNNNNNNNNNNNNNNNNNNNNNNNNNNNNNNNNNNNNNNNNNNNNNNNNNNNNNNNNNNNNNNNNNNNNNNNNNNNNNNNNNNNNNNNNNNNNNNNNNNNNNNNNNNNNNNNNNNNNNNNNNNNNNNNNNNNNNNNNNNNNNNNNNNNNNNNNNNNNNNNNNNNNNNNNNNNNNNNNNNNNNNNNNNNNNNNNNNNNNNNNNNNNNNNNNNNUUUGAAACCUGUUCCUAGCUGUUCUUGUAAUCCUAGAUGUAAAUGUGGUGUUCUUAAUGUUGUUAAGAAGUAUCAAGAUGAUGAUUAUGUGAUAAAAUUUGUUAAAGGUCUUAAUGAGAACUUCAAUCAGUUGAAAACUCAGUUGAAGACAAUGGAUCCACUUCCUGAUAUUAGCAAGGUAUUCAAUAUGGUUUUGCAGCAUGAGAGAGAAUUGUCUGUUGGAAAAGAGAAAUCUGUAGAAUCUAAUGUGUUUCUUGCAAAAAGUUUUUAUUCUAAUAAUAGGGGUAAUAAUCAAGGAAUGCAACAGAAUAAAGGAAGUAGUCAAUCAAGUUUUAGAAGGACUUUACAAUCGAACAGUAAUGGCAACAUAAAGAGGUUCAAUAAUCAACAGAAUUUUAAUAGACCCAUGUGCACAUUCUGUGGAAUUUCAAGUCAUACUAUUGAUUCUUGCUAUAAAAAGCACGAAUUUCCACCUGGAUUCAAAUUCAAGAAACCUAGCUAUGCUAACUUUGUGGAGACAGAUCAGACAGAUGAACAGCAAGUCCAUGGAAAUGACAGUAAUAUGCAAUCUGCUAAUGGAAAUGCUUCUAGUUUUCAAUUUACUAAUGAGCAGUGUGCCAAAUUGAUUCAGAUGCUUCAACAGACUUCAGCUUCUAUGAAUUCACAACCUCAAGUGAAUGCUCUUGUUACAAACUUUGUACCUGAUCAAGAAACAGGUAUGCAUUUUGUAUCUUAUAUAGAAAACUCACCCUUUCAUGAAAAUUUGUGUAUUAUUGAUUCGGGUGCUACAGAUCAUAUAGUCUGCCAUACAAAUUUUUUUACUAGUUUUAAACCUGUUACAAAUGUUUUUGUACAUCUACCAAAUAGAUAAAAGAUUCUUGUUUCUCAUAUUGGUCAAGACAGGUUAUCUCCUUUCUUUAUUCUUGACAAUGUCCUAUGUGUUCCCACUUUUCCUUUUAACCUAAUUUCUACUAGCAAAUUAACCAAACACAAAAAUUUAUGCUUACUUUUACAUUCUGGAAAUUGUCUUAUUCAGGAUUUGAAUCUUAUGAAGACGAUUGGUAUAGCUAAAGAAUGUCAAGGACUUUACAAGCUAGUGAUGCCUCAAAAGUGUUUUAAAAAUGAUAUCUUACAGAACAACGAGCAUAGUGUUCAAGCAGUGUCAAAAUAUGAUAUAUGGCACAUUAGAAUGGGACAUUUAUCAAAUGAGAGGUUGAGAUUGUUACAAUCAGUUGAUAAUAGUAUAGUUUUACCUAGCAAUGAUCAUUGUAAAACAUGUCACUUUGCUAAGCAAAAGAAACUUUCUUUUCCUGUUAGCACAUAUUCUGUUAGCAACAUCUUUGAUCUAAUUCAUACUGAUAUUUGGGGUCCCUUUAGGACUGAAUCUUAUAGUCGUUACAAAUAUUUUCUUACAAUUGUUGAUGAUAGAUCACGAUAUACUUGGGUUUUUUGUAUCAAAAUGAAGUCUGAGGUGCCCAUUUUGAUUCAGAAUUUUUUUUAUCUUUGUGGAGACUCAAUUUAAUAAGAAAAUAAAAUGCAUAAGAUCUGACAAUGGAAAAGAAUUCUUUAUGCCUCAUUUUUAUAGAUCCAAAGGUACUAUUCAUCAAACUAGCUGUCCUUAUACCCUGCAACAAAAUAGUACAGUUGAGAGGAAGCAUCAACAUAUACUCAAUGUAGCUAGGGCAUUACUUUUUCAAGCUAAGUUGCCUUUAACUUUUUGGUCAGAUUCUAUCAUUCAUUCACUUUACUUAAUUAACCGAACUCCCUCUCCUAUAAUUGAUAACCUAACACCAUAUCAAAUUCUUUUUAACCAAAAACCUGACUUGACUGAUCUUAAAGUGUUUGGUUGUUUAGCAUAUGCCUCAACUAUUUCUGAACUAAGACACAAGUUUGAUUCAAGAGCUAUACCACCUGUCUUCAUUGGUUAUAUUCCAAAUACAAAAGGGUUUAAACUUUUUAAUUUGAACACAAAAACCAUUUUUGCAUCAAGACAUGUUGUUUUUCAUGAAAAUAUUUUUCCAUAUGAUACUAUAAAAACUCCUUAAGAUGUUUCUGUCAUACCAUCUGUUGUCAUGAAAAACUGUACUACUAAUGCUUUUAUUGAUGAUUGUAGCACUCACACUGAUAUGCCUACUGCAAUCAGAACCCUUCCAAAUUCUUAUAUAUCUGAUUCAAAUCUACCUUCAUCAUCCAUUUCUACUUCUCAAAUACUACCAAACUAUACAACCAAAUCUGACAGAUCAGUAAAGCCACCAAAUCAUCUUCAGAAUUACAUCUGCCAAACCACAAAAUCAAUCAAACACAUACCUCACCUCAUUCUCUUGACAAAGUCCUUUCUUAUAAAAACCUAAGCACUAAUUAUAGACACUAUAUCAAUCCUGUUACAAAAAUUAUUGAACCAAGGUCAUAUAAUGAAGCAAUCAAGCAUAAAUGCUAGCAAGAAGCAAUGGAUCAAGAGCUGGAUGCUUUACAGAAGAAUAACACUUGGAUUCUUUGUGAUUUACCACAAGGGAAGAAGCCAAUUGGCUGUAAAUUGGUUUAUCGAGUUAAAUAUUUGUCAAAUGGGUCCAUUGAACGUUGCAAGGCACGAUUAGUUGCAAAAGGAUACACUCAGCAGAAUGGAGUAGAUUUUCUUGAUACGUUCUCUUCAGUUGCUAAAGUUACAACAAUACGAACAUUGCUUGCUGUUGCAGCAACUAAGGGUUUUAUUCUAGCACAGUUAGACAUAAAUAAUGCUUUCCUUUAUGGUGAUUUAAAUGAAGAAGUUUAUAUGACUGUUCCCCCAGGUUAUCUUUCCACAAAAUCUAAUCAAGUUUGCAAGUUACAGAAAUCCUUGUAUGGAUUAAAACAAGCUAGCAGAUAAUGGAAUGCCAAGCUUACAGCUUCACUUCUUCAAGAGAAAUACAAGCAAUCUGAUGCUGAUCCCUCUCUCUUUCUCAAGAAAGAAGGUAAAUCAUUCACUGCUCUCCUUGUAUAUGUUUGAUGAUGUUAUCAUUGCUAGCAAUGACUCUGAUGAAGUGAAUCAUAUUAAGAAGUAUCUUCAUGAUAAGUUCAAGAUCAAAGAUCUAGGUACAUUAAAGUAUUUCUUAGGCUUUGAGAUAGCUAGGUCAGCCAAAGGGAUCAACAUUUCUCAAUGAAAAUAUGCUCUAGACAUCUUGAAAGACACAGGUUUUAUGGAAUCUAAACCUGUUUCAACCCCUAUGAUUCCUAAUUAGAAGUUUAAUUAAGAAUCAACAGGAAUAUUACAAGAUAAUUCUAUGUAUAGAAGACUUAUUGGUAAAUUGCUUUAUCUGUGUACAACAAGGCCAGACAUAUCCUUUGCAGUACAUUUUUUGAGUCAGUUUCUUGAUAAGCCUACUGAAUCACAUCUUCAAGCUGUACAUCGAAUACUUAGAUACAUUAAAAAGGCUCCAGGUCAAGGUCUGUUCUUUCCUAAGGAUUCUGAUUUAACUCUUAAAGCUUUUAGUGAUUCAGAUUGGGCAUCUUGUUUACAAACAAGAAAGAGGCUGAUUUCAUGGAAGUCAAAGAAGCAAAAUACAGUUGCUAAGAGCUCUUCAGAGGCUGAAUAUCGAGCAUUAGCUGCUGUAACUUCAGAAAUUCAGUGGCUCAGAUCUCUUCUUCAAGAACUUGAUAUGUUUCAACCGGCAGCAACCCCUCUUUAUUGUGAUAACCAAUCAGCUAUUCACAUAGCUCAAAACCCGUGUUUUCAUGAGAGGACAAAGCACAUAGAAGUUGAUUAUCAUGUUGUAAGACAACAACUUCAACAACAAGUUAUUCAUCUCUUACCUGUAAGAACUCAGAAUCAAGUGGCAAACUUUCUCACCAAAGCUCUUCCACCAUCUAUGUUCAACUCAGCAAUAGACAAGCUUGGCAUACACAAUAUGUAUGCUACAGCUUGAGGGGGGUAAUACAGGUCAUGUUUACUGUGUUGUAGUUACCGUAGUUAAUUAUUGAUGGCUGUUAUAUAGUUAGUUAUUGGAAUUAACACGUGGCAUAACUCUAUUGGUCAUAGGGUUUGUAAUUUAGCUAUAAAUACAUGCAUAAUGUAUGAGCACAUUAACAAGAAUAAUAAUUCAAUUUUCUUCAGUUUCUUUUCUUCGAAGUUUCCUGUUUCUUCUUCAUCUCAACACUAACAGAAACACACUUCGACGUACCUACUUUUAUUGAAAACAAACACAUUGCUCACACAAACAGGGCCAUAAGACGGUGAGCAAUGAACUUUAUUUACUGCCACAUUGAUACGGUACCUCCCCUGACAGGCAUUCAGGACAAGAAUGUUUGGGCUAGGCACUGCGCGCGCAUAUCGCAGGAAAAUGAUAUUCUACUUGCCCUUAUAAUCACUCUGUAGUAAUCUUCUAAUUGCCACGGACGUACUUGCUCCAACCACUCUGCGACGAUAGCCUGGAGUCCCUCACAUUGGCAAUCUUCUCUUACUGGCUCUACUUCAUUGCAAGACUCCCGGAGCUGCUGUCUCUCCUGCUGGUUUAUUUCUCCUGGCAUCUCCAACACUUCUUUGUCUGUUGAUCUCCUCCAACUUGAUUGCGCUACGAACGUCAGACAGGCGCUCAAAUCCUUCCCCUCAAGUUCCUGGCGGCAUUUUUCUGAAGGCGACCAUAUUCCCGUCCUACUUUGAUUGGUUUCGUCGACCUCAACUGUGCUGGUGGCGUUUGUGCAAGCAAUGAUGACCAGAAGAACGCUAACGAGAGCCGCUGUGGGUGCGAGCUUUGCCAUGGUUACAGAACUUUUAAAAUCAUAAUAGCACCUAGAAAAUAUAUAUUGUUCUCUACAAUAUAUGGAGCGGAUGAAGAAGGUGAGGUUAAAGGUAAUCGGUAUUCGGGGAGUGCAUGUAUAGAACGUGGAAGAUGUAUGAAAUGGCGAAUCAUUUCUGGCAAUUUUAUGGGCAUGCUUUUUGUUUACACGUAGGGCAGCAACAUGCAAAUUCUUUUAGUUGACAUAACAUUUGGUAUAGAUUUUUUUAACAGUGUUUUUUUAUCGGUUACAUACAAUACAUUAAACCACAAAAUCGAUACAUUAUUAAUUUAUAUUAAUUUUAAAUAAUAAAAUAUAUAUUAAUUUUUUAAUAUAAAAUAUGAAACAUUAAAAUAUAUUAAGAUAUGAAAUACUAAUAUAUAUGUGUUAUUCUUUCUAUUAAUUAUAAUUUAUUUUAUAUAAAUUAUUUUCUUUAAUAAAAUUGAGCUCGCAAUAAAAUAAUAUUUACAUGCAAUUUUAAUGUAAGAUUAUAUAAUUUUAAUAUAAUAUAUUUACAUUAAGGAUUAAUAUAAAUAUAAUAAAAUANNNNNNNNNNNNNNNNNNNNNNNNNNNNNNNNNNNNNNNNNNNNNNNNNNNNNNNNNNNNNNNNNNNNNNNNNNNNNNNNNNNNNNNNNNNNNNNNNNNNNNNNNNNNNNNNNNNNNNNNNNNNNNNNNNNNNNNNNNNNNNNNNNNNNNNNNNNNNNNNNNNNNNNNNNNNNNNNNNNNNNNNNNNNNNNNNNNNNNNNNNNNNNNNNNNNNNNNNNNNNNNNNNNNNNNNNNNNNNNNNNNNNNNNNNNNNNNNNNNNNNNNNNNNNNNNNNNNNNNNNNNNNNNNNNNNNNNNNNNNNNNNNNNNNNNNNNNNNNNNNNNNNNNNNNNNNNNNNNNNNNNNNNNNNNNNNNNNNNNNNNNNNNNNNNNNNNNNNNNNNNNNNNNNNNNNNNNNNNNNNNNNNNNNNNNNNNNNNNNNNNNNNNNNNNNNNNNNNNNNNNNNNNNNNNNNNNNNNNNNNNNNNNNNNNNNNNNNNNNNNNNNNNNNNNNNNNNNNNNNNNNNNNNNNNNNNNNNNNNNNNNNNNNNNNNNNNNNNNNNNNNNNNNNNNNNNNNNNNNNNNNNNNNNNNNNNNNNNNNNNNNNNNNNNNNNNNNNNNNNNNNNNNNNNNNNNNNNNNNNNNNNNNNNNNNNNNNNNNNNNNNNNNNNNNNNNNNNNNNNNNNNNNNNNNNNNNNNNNNNNNNNNNNNNNNNNNNNNNNNNNNNNNNNNNNNNNNNNNNNNNNNNNNNNNNNNNNNNNNNNNNNNNNNNNNNNNNNNNNNNNNNNNNNNNNNNNNNNNNNNNNNNNNNNNNNNNNNNNNNNNNNNNNNNNNNNNNNNNNNNNNNNNNNNNNNNNNNNNNNNNNNNNNNNNNNNNNNNNNNNNNNNNNNNNNNNNNNNNNNNNNNNNNNNNNNNNNNNNNNNNNNNNNNNNNNNNNNNNNNNNNNNNNNNNNNNNNNNNNNNNNNNNNNNNNNNNNNNNNNNNNNNNNNNNNNNNNNNNNNNNNNNNNNNNNNNNNNNNNNNNNNNNNNNNNNNNNNNNNNNNNNNNNNNNNNNNNNNNNNNNNNNNNNNNNNNNNNNNNNNNNNNNNNNNNNNNNNNNNNNNNNNNNNNNNNNNNNNNGAGAACCAAUUAUCUUCCUACUUGAAAAAAUUCUUGAACUAGAGGGAGCUUUUACUUUUUUAUUUUUUGUCUUUCUAUUUAAUACCAUGAUCAUUAGGUUAAAUAUAUUAGACUAGUUUUUAUAAAUGUUUAAUUUAAUUUUUUACUUUUGUAUGAAUCAUGUUAUUUAUUUAUUUAAUGAAUAAUUCCUUUACCUUCAUAUAUGUAUUAGUUUCAUCUAUUAUUAUUGGUUGACUAUCAUAUCAAUUUAGUAGUAAUAAUUGUUAUGAAAGUUUUUAGGUUAAAAGUAUUAGAAACAUUAUCUUUAUUUUAAUCUAUGUUGGUAUAAGAAACUUAUGUUGCAUCAUUAGCUUGAGUGAUUUAGGAAAAAGGCACAUCACUAUCUCAUUCAUUAGAUUUAAGUUUGAAAUAAAACAAAGAAAUUACUAAGUAAAUGUAUAGACUAAAUACUAUCGUUAGCAUAUAGUUUUAAAUUAUAAGCAUUUGCAUUUGCAUUGUAUAUUUAUUUAUUUAUUAGUUACUUUAUUUUAUAAAUAUUAUUCUCUCAAAAUACAGAAAUAAUUAAAAUUAUGUAUUAAUCAUUUAAUAUUAAAUAAGAGACCCAUCAUUGACAUAUCUAUUCUAAUUACUAAUGAUAAAAUCAUUUAAUAUUAAAAAAUAAAAGAUCCAUUAUAAAUAUGUAUCAAUUAUUUGACGGAUCUAUUCUAUCUACUAAUAGCAAAAAUAAUUAAUACACAAAUAAUUUACACAUAAUAUAUAUAUAUAUAUAUAUAUAUAUAUAUAUAUAUAUAUAUAUAUAUAUAUAUAUAUAUAUAUAUAUAUAUAUAUAUAUAUUAUUUAUUCAAUAUUAAGAACUUUAACAAUAUAUCAAUAUCAAAAAUUUUAAUUGUUAAAUUAGAUUUCGAUUAUAAAUAUUUAUCUUUAAUUAAUAAUUUAAAAAAUAUAAACUUCCAUUGUUAAAAUAAAAUUUAACUUAUGAUUUUGAUAAUAAAUUGUAAACAUUAAAAUUCAUCUUAUGUUGUUAAUUUAGUAGUACUGAGUAAAAUAUUUAUCUUUAAUUAAUAAUUCUUAUUAUGUUGUUAAUUUCAUAAAAUCGGGACAUUAAACUGAGUAAAACAACAACAGGCUAUUAAUGACAUUAUUAAUAAUUUCUCCAUAGCCUAAUCUUCAUCGCCACCAAAUCUCAAGUCAACAGCUAGUGAUCACUGACAAUCAUCUUUAUUUAUUACUUCAUAUAGUCUGAGAAUUUUACUUGCAUUCUAUUGGUUCCAUACCGCACUUUGAUGCCAAAUUUUCACCUGUCUUGAAAGCAUCAUAAAUAUACGCAUCUUCAAGUUCUCCCUGAACAUAUUUCUCCCCAAUAGCGUAGGUCAAGCCCUCGCAUCUGCAAUCUGGCUGCAUCUGCUUGAGAUGUUCACAGCACCCACGAAGAUACUGUUCUUGAUGUNNNNNNNNNNNNNGUCCGGUAACUUCUUUUACGAUAUAUUCCUGGCAUUGCUGAGAUUUUGUUGCUCUUGAAUCUGCCCACGACAGCUCUGCUGGCUUGGGUUUGUUCGUGUUUGGCGCAAGCAACGCACACCGCAAGAAGAUACAAUUUCACUCGCUCUCUGCCCCACUGUUUCAGACUCUUCUCGUUGUAGAUGUCCCUGCCGAAUCUGAUCCUCGGCGAUAGAUUUGAUUGCUUCACAUUGGCAAUCAUUUCUCACUUGCUCCACUUGAUUGCAGCACUGCUGGAGCUGCCGUGUCUCCUGCUGCUGGUUCUCAUCUCUAGGCAUCCUUAACACUUUUUCUCCUGGUGACCUUCUUGAACUUGAUUGUCUUAUGUAUUGCUCGCAGGAGCUCAAGUCCUUCCUCUGAAUUUCCUGGCGGCAUUGCUGCGGGUGAGACCCUUCCCUUUCACCCUUUGAAUCGUCAAUCUCAAUGGUGGUGAUGGUGGUUCUGUGAGCGAAAGAGGCAUCGGCAAUGAUGAACAACAGAACACUAAAGAGAGCAAUUGUGGAUACGAGCUUUGCCAUUGUUACUGAAUAUGAAAGAGCUGAUUUUAUAGAAUAUAUCGGACGAUAGAAUGGGUUUUUAUAGGACAAUUCAGGGGAAUGCAUGUCGGAAACGUGUAGAUUUAUGGAAUCGCCAGUCAUUUCUAACAUUUUUAUGGGGUGGCUACAUCUGUUUCUGUGGUAUGCAUCAUUCUUACUCGUAGGACUGCAGUAUGUAGUAAUUCUUAUGGAUUUUGUGUUUGAUGUUAGCUAGAGUAUCUGUACGUGGUUGCAUUUAGUGACUCUUAUUACUUAAAAUAAACUAUUCAAAAUAUUUGUUACACAUCUACCUAUAGUUAUUACAUUAUCGUUAUAUGUUUGCUUUAAUUGAGUGAGCAAAAAGACAUAUUAGCACAUUGUACCUAACAAUCAAAUACAUGCAUAUUUGAUUUAAGUCACAAUUACAGUAUAUAUUUAAAGAAAACAAAAGUAUGCUCUUAAUACCAGAAAGUAAAAUUAUUUUUGGUUCGACUUUAUCUAGUUAGAGAACUAAUACUAAUCUUAAAUUUACUGAUGAAUAAAAUUAAAAAUAAAUAGAAGUGAUUAAAUGAUGAAUGAGUCAAUUGAGCCAAAGAGUUUUUUUGUUGUUAUUAUACCAAAUUAAGUUAGAAUAAAGAAACAAGAAAAAUACAAAAGUCUUUUUCAUUAGUCUAAUUAUUUAUGUACAAUGAAUAAGAAAUGUUACCAAUUCUCCUUUAUUAUAGUUAUAUCUAUUAUAAGAUAUUCUUAAGAUACCAAAAUGAUAUUUUUAAUAUACUUUCUUUUCUAUGUUUAUUAAUACUGUGUCAUAUUAAAGUAAAUUUAUAUUUAAUUUUUGUAAUAAAAUAUCUAAAAGAUACUUUCAGUAUACCUAAAAAAUACCAUAUAGUAUAAACAGUAUAUAGGUGAUUUAAAAAAAUAAAAAAUAUCAACAACAGUACACUAAUAAGAUAUUGUUUAAUAUACUUUUAGGUGUAUAUUUAUGAAUGCUUUAAUUAAAGUUAUAUCAUUACUCAGUUGUAUAAAAAGAUGCUAAGAAUAUAUUAAAUAUUUAUUGGAUUAUAAUAUUUAUUUAAAGAUAACAAAAGUAUGCUUGUAAUAUACCAAAAAGUUAAAAUAUUUUUGGUCUGACUUUGUUUAGUUACAAAACUAAGUCUAGUCUUAAAUUUACUGAUGAUGAAAAUUAGAAAAUAAAUAGAAGUGAUUAAAUGAAGAAUGAAUCAAUUGAGCCAAAGAGGUCUUUUUGUUAUUAUACCAAGUUAAGUUAAUGGAAUAAAGAAAUAUGAAAAAAGAAGAAGUUCUUAGCUUUUUCAUUAAUUUGAUCAUUUAUGUACGAUGAAUAAAGAAUUCUAGCGGUUCUCAUUUAUUAUAGUUAUAUCUAUUACAAAGUACUCUUAAGAUACCAAAUCGAUAUGUUUAAUAAAUCUUUUUUCUCUGUUUAUCAAUACGGUAUCAUAUUAAAGUAAAUUUAUUUUUCUGAUUAUUUUGUAAUAAGAUAUCAAUAUGGUGCUAUACCGGCUUUUUCAUUAUCUUUUGGAUAUCUUACUUUUUCAUUAUCAAUACUUGAUCUAAAAUUUGAGUUAGUAUGGUAUUACUUGUAGUUAAAUGCAAGAGUAUUUGUUUUAAAUGAACUUAAGAAAAAUAUGUAGUUAGUAUGGUAUUACUUGUAGUUAAAUGCAAGAGAAUGACCUUAAAAAAAUAUGUAGUGUAUAAGAUAUUAAAGCUAGCUAAGAAGAACGAGUAAAAAUGCUCCAUCAGAUUAUUAGGCCGGUUCAUAAAAGUGGGCAUUCAGAUUAAUUUUCCAUAAAGUGAUUUAGAAUUUGAGUUAGUAUGGUAUUACUUGUAGUUAAAUGCAAGAGUAUUUAUUUUAAAUGAACUUAAAAAAAAUAUAUAGAAUAUAAGACAUUAAAUCUAGCUAAGAAGAACGAGUAAAAAUGCUCCAUCAGAUCAUUAGUUCAUUCUUAAGAGGUGAUUUUUCAUUAAAUAUAAUUAUUAGAAAUGGUUCUUUCUUUAUCAUAAAGAGAGCAUGAAUAUGCAUUUCUUUUCAUAUGGAUCAACUCCAGCUUGAUGUAUUGAAUCUUAACCAAUAUCAACAAUAAGACUUAUGCAUCUUGACAAGCAUGAACAUAACUUUAGGAGUGAGCAUCAUAUAGACUUCAAAAAUGAUUAUAUUAAUACGAUUUGAAAUAUAUUAAUGAAACCCAAAUGAAUAAAAGAAAAUAAAAAUGUGAGUGUUGCAUUUUAAAUUUCUUAUGGUGACAUUCUAUCGCCCUUGCAAUUUUUUCUCUCUGUAAUUUUCUUUCUAUAUGCAAAUUUAGUAACAUUAUGAUUAAUUAAUUGCUAAAUUAUGAAUAAUAAUUACCUAGGUUAAAUAAACCUCUCAGGUGGUGCAAUGAAUUUAAUAUGAGCUUUUAUAUGAUAUAUUGCAUUGUAAUGAGUUACAUAUAUAUAUAUAAAUCAAAGGUUGUAAUGGGGAUUAUAUGUUUUGAGUUUCAAUUGUAGAAAUUAGACUUAUUUCAUGGGAGAAUUAGUUCGAUUUAUAGAAGAGAUGUUGCUAAAUCUUUCGUAGAAUUAAUUAGAAUAAGAAAAUAAUUAAUAGGAUUAUAUAAAAUUAAUUAGAAUUGGAUAUUAGAUAUUAGAAAUUAAAAAUUAUUUAAAGAUUAUCAGAAGAUAGGAUAUAAAUUUAUUUCUAAAAUUUUAUUUUUAUAUAUGAUUUAUAGGAUUAAGUAUUCGAAAGUUAUUUGGAGAGAAAGGUUAUCAGAAAAUUUNNNUAAUCCGGCGUGUUAUCUAAAACGUGUCAUUUAAAACAUGAAAAAAUCUCAAUCCAUAAUUUAUAUCCUAUAAAUUAUAAUAUAAAUUAUAAUUUAUAGGAUUCAUUAUUGAUAGGACUGAUAUAAAGUCUACAUAUGAAAAUAAUAUGUUACAAUUUAUUAUAUUGAGGUGUUUUGAGGUGUUUUGUUUCAUCAAUCUAAUGUUAUCAUAUUCAACACAAUUCAAUAAAUUAUAAAAAUAACUAAAUGUAUAGAUCAUUUUAUAAAAUAUAAAUGUAUAGAUCUGAUUGUAAUGUAUAUAAUGUAUAGAUAUGAUAUAUUUGUUGUAAUGUAUAAAUAUAUAGAUAUAAUAUAUUCAUUAUAAUGUAUAGAUAUGAUGUAGUGUAUAAAUGCAUAGGUCUGAUUAUAAUGUACAUAUAACAUAUCAUAACACAGAUACGAUGUAAAAACAAAAAUUCAUCAAACAAAAUAUUCCCGGUUUCUUUACAGUUUAAUUAAUAAAUUUCUCAAUCGGAGUAGAAUGUUCUCUAAGAUAGAGUGUCCUCAAUUUUUUUUUCCAGUUCAUCUCUGCGAAAAUUUUGAAAUAUAAUUAAUUUAUUUUUUUAAUAUCUAAUCUACACAACCGAGCUAAAACAUCAACAGGAUGUUGAUGACGUUAUUAAUUAACAACAUAACAUAGUCAUCAUAAAUGACUACUCAUGGUAAUCAUCAUCAUCAUCAAAUCUCACGGCAACGGUUGUCAACAGCUAAUGAUCACUGAUCAUGAUCUUUAUUUACUACAUGUACUUAUACAUGACAAUUUUACUGGCAUUCUCUUGGUUCCACACCGCACUGUAAUGGCAAAUAUCGAGCUGUCUUGAAAGCAUCAAACAAAUACUCUUCUUCAACUUGUCCCUGGAGAUAUUUCUCCUCAACAGCGUAGUACAGAGCCUCGCAUCUGCACUGUGUAGUUUCAGGAUACAUCUGCUUGAUCUGGUCACAGCACCGACGAAGAGACUGCUGUUGAUUACUGUCACUUCGUCUUGAUCUCUGUACACCAUAUUGUUGUGUGAUAUAUUCCUGGCAUUGCCUGAGUUUCUGCUGUCCAAUAAUAUGCUGACGACAGCCUUCCUGGUUUGGGUUUUUUUGUAUUUGGCGCAAGCAACGCAGACCGCAAGAAGAUACAAUGUCACUUGCUCUCUGCCCCACUCUCUCAGACUCUUCUCCUUGUAAGUGUCCCUGCUGAAUCUGAUAUUCGGCGAUAGAUUUGAUUGCUUCACAUUGGCAAUCAUGCCUCAGUUGCUCCACUUGAUUGCAGCACUGCUGGAGCUGCUGGGUCUCCUGCUGCUGGUCUUCAGCUCUAGGCAUCCUUAACAAUUCUUCCCCCGGUGAUCUUCUUGAACUUGAUUGUCUUAUAUAUUGCUCGCAGGAGCUCAAGUCCUUCCUCUGAAAUUCCUGGUGGCAUUGCUGUGACCGCGAUCCUUCCCCUCCAGCCUUUGUAUCGUCGAUCUCAAUGGUGGUUCCGUAAGCAAAAGAGGCGUUGGCAAUGAUGACCAAGAGAACGCUGAUGAGAGUUACUGUAGGUAUGAGCUUGGCCAUGGUUAUAGAACUUAUAAAUAAUAGCACCUAGAGAGUAUAUACUUGUUUGGAAAUGGAUGAAAAAGGUAAUCGGUAUUUGUACGAGGUUUCGGGGAAUGCAUGCAUAGAACGUGGAAGAUAUCACUUGAGGUGGCUCCAUUUGUUUUUGUGGUAUGGCUUAUGCUUACACGUAGGGCAGCUACAUGCAAAUUCUUUUGGUUUGGAAAUUUUUUUCGUUAAUAUGGACCUAUAUUUUUAUAUACGUCAAAUUAAUAAGUUAAAUUAUAUAAAAAUUAUUAAUUUUAGAUAAUAAAUUAUAUAAUAUUAUUUAAUAUUAAAAUAUUAUAUAUAUAUAUAUAUAUAUAUAUAUAUAUAUUUAUUUAUUUAUUUUCCAUUUGUCACAAUAUGUAUAUUUAAAUUUUACGUGUGAUAAUAAAUUUUGUAAAUGUAAAGUCUAAAUUAGAUAAUAAAAUAUAGAAAAAGGUAUAAAGAUUAAUUUUAUGAUUUAAUUUUUUGAUAUAUGUUUUUUUAAUUUUUUAAUGACACUUUAGUAUCCUAAGAAUUAGAUUAUUAGCAAUAUAUCUAAAUUAAUUAACAUUAUUAAUAAUUUUUGUUAGAAAUUAAACUCAAAUUAAUUAAUCUNNNNNNNNNNNNNNNNNNNNNNNNNNNNNNNNNNNNNNNNNNNNNNNNNNNNNNNNNNNNNNNNNNNNNNNNNNNNNNNNNNNNNNNNNNNNNAAGAAAAUAAUGAAUGGAGGAAUGAUUCUUUUCAAUGUUCAAAACUCAAUAAAAAAAUUAUAAUAAUUGGUGUACUCGUAUGAAAAUUGUGCUAGAAUCACAAGAUGCAUGGGAUGUUGAGAAAUGAUUCGAACAGCUUGAGAAUGACGAAGGCUUGAAUCAAGCUCACAGAGAUGCUUUACAUAGAUCUUGGAAAAGAAAUGAGUUGGCAAUGACAUUGAUGCAUUUGUGCUUAGAUGAAAGCAUGUUUGAAAAAGUCUCGGGUAUAGCAAGUGUCGAGCAAGCAUAAGAGUGUUGCAGAAUUCUUUUAAAGGAGUUAGUAAGGUGAUAAAAGUUCACUUACAAACCUUAAGAGCAGAGUUUGAAUCACUCAAGAUGAAAAGUUUUGAAUCAAUUUCAAACUACUUCACCCGAGUAUUGGUUAUUGUCAAUCAAAUGAGAAAAUAUAGUGAAAGCUAAAUGAUGUUCGAGUAGUUGAAAAGAUUUUGAGGUCUCUAGACUCAAAAUUUAAUUAUGUUGUUGCCAUCGAAGAGUCAAAUGAUCUAGGCUCCAUGAUUGUUGAUGAGUUGAUGGGAUUAUUGCAAGCUUGUGAAGAAAGGAUGACUGGAAAGCAACCACAAGCUCAAGUUCUUCUCUCAAUGUUAUCUCUAAAAGAGAAAGAUCGUGGUUGCGGUAUUAGAUAUGGUAAUUUUAGAGGAAGAGAAAGAGGGAUAUCUGAUAAGAACUUUAACAAUGAUGAGAGUUCAAAUUAGAAACAAGCAUUAAGAGGAUGUGGUAGAGGUGAUUGGUCCAAAAGAAGAGAUUCAAAAGCUGAUGUGCAAUGUUACAAUCGUGGAAAAUAUGGACAUUACGCCUCAGAAUGUAAGGCUAAUGUGCAUUAUUAUAAUUGUGAAAAAUAUAGUCAUUAUGCAUCUGAAAGCAUAAAUUCAGGUGUCAAAGAAGAAAAGGCUUAUUGUGCUAAAGGUGAAGAUAAUAAAGGAAAUAGUUUGUUACUAUCAUGUGAUGGAGUGAAGAAAAAGAUCAAGUAGCAUGGUAUUUAGAUACAGGUGCGAGCAAUCAUAUGACUAGCAAAAAAAAUUCUUUGUGUCUCUUGAUGAAACUUUUAAUGGAAAUAUUUCCUUUGUAGAUGAUAGAAAGGCUAUGAUUGAAGGAAGAUGAGAUAUUCUCAUUCAAGCUAAGGAUGGAUCGCAUAAGUUCAUUAUUAAUUCUGAGUAGCGUUAUCAAGAUUCGAAGCGAAAAAAUGGUGUUAGCAUAUUGAGUUUAGGUCAACUUUUGGAGUAAAGAUAUGAGAUCAUGCUAAAAAAUGGUGCUUUGAUGAUAAAAAAAUUCUAAAGGCAAUCUGAUUGCUAUAGUGAAAAUGUCUAAUAACAGAAUGUUUACUCUCAAAAUUCAAACUGGUUGUGUUAAAUGUUUGAAAGCAUGUUCAUCGAAUCCUUCUUGGUGUUAGCAUCAAAAGAUGGGUCAUUUAAAUUUUGAUAGUUGUUAGUGAAAGAAAGAAUGGUGUAUGGCAUACUUUUCAUUGAUCAAUUGCAAUAGUUGUGUGAAGGAUGUCUAUAUGGCAAACAAUUUAGAAAUAGCUUCUCACAGGAAUCAAGCCUCAAAACCUUUUGCAUUGGUAUAUGCUGAUAUCUAUGGCCCUAUAAAUCUACGUUCUUUUGGUAAAAAUAAAUAUUUCUUGUUAUUCAUUGAUGACUAUAGUCGAAAGACUUUGGUGUAUUUUCUGAAACAAAAGUCAGAAGGCCUUGAUAUGUUCAAAAAAUUUAAAGAGAUGGUAGAGAAGGAAAGUGGAUAUUCAAUUAAGGCUUCGAGAAUUGAUUGUGAUUGUGAGUUCACUUCAAAGCAAUUCAAUGAUUAUUGUGAGUCUCAUGGUAUUUGAAGAUUCUUAAUAGUUUCAAGAUCACCUUAAUAGAAUGGUGUGAUGGAGAGAAAGAAUAGAACCAUUCUCAACAUGAUAAGAAAUAUGUUGAAGAGUAAACAUAUGCCUAAAUAAUUUUAGGUUGGAGCUGUAGCUUGUUCAGUUUAUCUAUCCAAUAGGUGUCCUACAAGAAGUUUGCAAAAGUCUACACCAUAGGAGAAAUGGAGUGGAAAGAAGCCAAUUCUUUUCAUUUAAGAGUUUUUAGUUGUAUAGCUUAUAUACAUAUUCCAGAUGAAACACGAAUUAAAUUGGAUGAUAAAAGUAAGAAGCUUGUGUUUGUUAGGUAUGAUGCAAAGUACAAAGGCUACAAACUAUAUAAUCCAAAAAGCAAGAAGCCUGUUAUUAGUUGAGAUAUCAAGUUUAGUGAAGAUAAUUCUUGAAAUUGGAAAAAUUAAGAUGAAGACUACAAUUUCUUUCCUUUACUUGAUGAUGAGUCUAGCAAAAUAAGAGGUAUUGAGCAUCCUCCUUCACCUCCCAAAAUUUUCAACAAUUAUUCGUGAUGAUCAUAUGAUACUCUGAAAGACCUCCUAAGAUGAGGAGUCUUGAUGAUAUUUAUCAAACACUGAUGAGAUCAAUGAUAAUGCUCUUUAUUGUCUUUUUGCAAGAUUGGAGCUUAUAGAUUUUGAAGAAGCAAUGCAAAAUGAAAAGUGGAGUUUUUCCAUGAAUGAAGAAAUGGAAGCAAUUCAGAAGAAUGAUACAUGUGAAUUGUCAAACCUUCCGCAAGGAAAGUAAGCAUUUUGAGUAAAAUGGAUUUACAAAAUUAAAAAGAAUGUAGAUGGAGAGGUGAAGAAAUUCAAAGCUCGACUUGUUGCAAAAGGAUUCAGCCAACAACAUGGAAUUGACUAUGAUGAAGUUUUUGUACCAAUUGCUCGUUUAGAGACAAUUCGAUUGAUCAUUUCAUUGGCUGCUCAAAAGAAAUGGAAAAUUUUUCAAAUAGAUGUGAAAUCAGCCUUUUUGAAUGCAUAUUUGUAGAGAAACCAAUGGAUUAUGUUGUUAAAAGGCAAGAAAAUAAAGUCUUGAAGUUGAAGAAGGCUUUGUAUGGCUUGAAGCAAGAACCAAAGGCAUGGUACAACCGGAUUGAUGAUUACUUUAAAAAGAAAGAUUUCAUAAAGUGUCCUCACAAAUAUAGCCUUUAUUUCAAGAAAGAAAAUGGUAAUAUGCUGAUUGUUUGCUUGUAUUUUAAUGAUCUAAUAUUUACAGGAAAUAAUUUAGCAAUGUCUGAAGAAUUUAAGAAGGAGAUUGCUGAAGAGUUUAUGAUGAAAAUAUUGGCCUCAUAUCCUAUUAUCUUGGAGUUAAAUUGAAGUAAUCUCAUGACAGUAUUUUUGUUUCUAAAAAAGACUAUGCAAAGAAAGGCUUGAAAGAAUUCAACAUGGAGAAUUGUCAAUCUAUCAUUACACUUGCAGAGUGUGUUAUCAAGAUUUGAUAAUGGUGAGAAGGUGAGUACUAUUCUGUAUCGAAAGGAUUUUAGCGAAUCAAUACCACUAAAAUUCACAUUAAAAAUUCAUAAGUAAUUAUCUAGAAAGGAUUUUAGCAAACUAAUAUCACUAAAAGUCUGAAAAUAAUGCGACGAAGAUUUUGUUCCUCGGUAUGCAAAUCAAGGCACCGCCACCCAUGGUGGUUGGAAAAUUCAACGUGGCCGAAAAUUGCAAUCAGAGACCACCUAAUCGAGUCUGGAUAUGCAAUUAUUUUCACCUAACUCUUUAACAUUUUUUCAAAAAACGCCAAAGAAGUUGCUUCCCUGGCGAAGCUUUUUCUCCUAUUUCCAGUGAUGGCAACUCCAAUGAGGGCUUGUGUAACACCCAUAAAUUUUUUUCAGUAUUUUAAUUAGUUUAAUUUUGUUUUACAUAUGAUUAAUUGAGACAUUAAUUUAUUCAUUCCUCUGCAUUUUAUAAUUAGCUCUAUGAUACAAAUAUACACUAUAUAAUAUAAUGAUUUUAUUACUAAAAAAAAUAAAAUAAAAUAAAUUUAAAAUACCAAAUUUUAUAAAUAUUUUUAUGAUUUUCACUAUACUUUAUUUGCAAAUAAUUAAAUAGACACUACUUUAAAAUCACGACAAUAAUAAAUAUACAAAUUAAAUAAUAUAUAUAUAUAUAUAUAUAUACACGUGUGUUAGUGUAUAUAUGUAUUUAUAGUACAUAAUAAAGCAAAUAAUAAUAAUAAUAAUACUAAUAAAUACAUAUUUUGUACCCAAAAAUAUCCAUUUCCCUUCUCCUUUCUCAUUUAUUUUCUUUUCUUCCCGCUUGCACCCACCUCACCUCACGUCUCCCUCUCUGUUCAAGUUGUCCCUCCCCUUCCUCAUAAUUUUCCAGCCGCCUGAGCAGUAGUCCAGUCGUCCUCCACCGCCCUUGGCCAACGGCAGCUCCUUUUCUUUCCAUUUCUUGCCGGAAAAAUUGAAGAAAAAGGGAAUAUAGGCUGCCAUUUCUUCUGGGGGCCGUUGUAGGUGUUGUGGCUGUAUAGGGCUGCUACCAUUAGCUUUCUCAAGCUCCAAGCAGCCCAUUUUGGACCUCAUUUGCAGUUUCCAUCGUCGGAAAAGGGAGGAGGAGCUUCGCCGGAGCAGCAACUUCCUUGGUUUUUUUUUUUUUGAAAUAUUUGUGAAGAGUUAGGUGAAAAUAAUUAUACAUUCAGACUCCUCGCAUUGAGAUCUUCAAGUAGGUGGUCUCAGAUUGCAUUUUCGAUGACGUCGAACUUUUCAGCCACCGCAGGUGUCGAUGCCUCGAUUUGUGUGCCGAGGGGAAGAAUGUUUGUUACAUUAUUUAGAGAAUUUUGGUGUAUUCAUUCGUUAAAAUUCUUCACUAGUAAUUUGUUUUGGAUUUUUAAUGCGAAUUGUGGUAUUAAAAUCAGAAUAUUUAAUACGGUUGAACGAGUUGUUGAAUGAUUUUAGAACCGUUAUUAUUUAAAAGCUCAUAAACUAUUGUGUUAUAUCAUGUGGUGGAGAAUUGUUUGAAUAUUGAUAAAUUAAUUAUCGGAAUUAAGAAAUUAUGAUAAAUUAAAUAAAUUUGAAUAUUAUAAAAAUUAAUUGUGGAAGCCGGGUGUUUUAGGAGAAAUGAUGCCGGUAGAAUGUUUUAGAGAAAUCAUUGCAUUGCAUUCAUGUGUAAUUGUUUAUCCCAUUCCAAUCCAGUUGGUUCAAAUUUCUAUUCCUUUUUUUUAUUCUCUAUACAUGAUUGAUUCAUAUUCAUUAUUUCUUCUUCUUCUUCUUCUUCUUCUUCUUCUUCUUCUUCUUCUUCUUCUUCUUCUUCUUCUUCUUCUUCUUCUUCUUCUUCUUCUUCUUCUUCUUCUUCUUCUUCUUUAACUACCAUCCAAGCAACAAAAAAAUGGAAUUAAGGACCAACACAAGCGUGGCACAUCCAAUUCUCACAAAAUUAAAAUUAAUAAAAAAAUAAAACUAAUGUAAAAGUAGAAAGGGAAUUAAGGACCAACACAAGCGUGGCACAUCUCAUUUCUAUAGUGCAUGUCCUGAAUUUGCAUCACCAAAGAAAGCUCCAUCACCAAGCCUUGUUUUUAUUUCAAGAAACUCUUUAAGAGAACAGACUUCGCUUUCUCCACCAUCGUUAUAGCUAUAAUGAGCUUCUUUUGUUAUUCUUGUUCGCAUUUGUGUUAUACGGAUUUAUGGUGGUAGAUGGCGGUGGAACAACCAAAACAGCACCGCGAACUUCAUCGGCCGAUUUCUUUCUCUUACGGUAAUGACAGCAGAUGAAAUUGCUACAAUGUACUUGUCUAUUCAUGAGCAAUCUUCUUAUGGCAGCGUUGUUGAUUGUCUUGGCUGGAAAUAGAGAAUGGCAGAGGAGAGAUAAAUUCAUGACAGUUUUGUUUUUUGUCGAUUCCAAUAAACUCCGAUGAGGUGUGAACGAUCAAAACACAUGAAUAAAUUCCAGUCUCUGUAAGCUUUGGUAUUAGAUGACUUUUAUAUCAAUUGGUUAUCUUGAUCUAAUUUGUAAAUGCACUUUAACUUGAAGAUAUAAACUAUAAUAUCCCAUUGAUCUAGAACUUAAUGGUUUUUAUCAUUAAAUAGAAGAAAGAAAACAUACAUUGAUUCAUAUUCUUAUCUUAUUAAUAGAUACUCUAACAUUUUAGUUUUAUAUUUGCUAUAAUUCUUGAUACUAUGGGUAGAGAGAGGACCAAGUCUUAUUUAUAGACUAAUGGUGGUUUUCCAUCAAAGCAUCAAUGUUUACAACCCUUCAUGUCAUAAUAUUUAAUAAUAGUCAUACCUAUUCAAUUUACAACCUUUCAUUAACCAAUAGAAUUUAAUCAUUAAUAUUUUAUUAUAAUUAUAUAAAUCAUUAAUUUCUUACAUUCUCUCACUUGGCUCAUAUAAUUUAAUAAGAAUAUAAAGUGCACGAAGAUUAAUGUUAAAUUCUUUUUUUAUACAUUGGCUAUGACAUAGUAUCAUUAUUAAGUAGAAAUAUUAAUACGGGUCAUAGUGGUCGCAUGUCAUUUAUGGAUAUAGUUCCUUCCAUAUACCACAACACUAAUUCUCAACUUAACAUGAUCUUUAAUAAAGAUAACAUUAAUGGUCCAACAUUAGUGUCUUUAUUUCAAGAAUGUUCUUGUCAAUAUUACUCUAAAGCAAUUAUGUAUACCAAAUAGGAAACAGAAAAAUCAGAAACACAUAAUUGAGCUCAAAGUGUCAAUUAUAUAAACUUAAAAUAAACUUAAUCAAAUAUUAGUAAUGACGCCUAAUAAUGCUCAUUCUUAUAACAUGUUCAUUAAAUAUUUUGGGCGGUAAUCUUUUUGUUAAAGGAUCUGCAAUCAUAAGAUUUGUUCUAAUAUGUCCAAUUGACAUUUUUUGUUUCUGAACUUCUUCUUUAAUGGUAAAGUAUUUUAUCUCCAUAUGCUUAGCACCCUUAGAAUUCUUAUUAUUUUUAGAGAAGAAAACUGCUGCAGAAUUAUCAUAAUAGAUUUUCAGCGGCCUGCAAGUCCUGAAAUAAAAUUUCGCAGCCAUAAUCCAUGAACGGUAGCCUCAGAGCAAGCUACAAACUCAGCCUCUAUAGUGGAUGCAGCAAUGACAGACUGCUUCAUAUUCUUCCAUGAAAUUGCUCUUUCGGCUAAUAGGAGUAAGUAGCCAAAUGUUGAUUUUCUUAUAUCAACACAUCCAGCAAAAUCUGAAUCUGAAUAUCCAAUCACCUCAAGGUGCUUAGAUCUUCUAUAAGUGAGCAUAUGAUCCUUUGUUCCUUGCAAGUAUCUAAGAAUUUUCUUUGUAGCUUUCCAGUGAUCUAUCUAAUCCUGAAUUACUUUGAUAUUUGCCCAAUAUUCCGAACAACAAAAUUAAUGUCCGGUCUGGUGCAAGUUUGAGCAUACAUUAAACUCACAACAACAUAAGCAUAAGGAACGUUCUCUUUCUAUUCUCGUUCCAAUUCAUUUUUCAGACAUUGCAUAAGAUUAAAUUUAUCCCCUUUCUGAAUUGGAACUAUUCCUGCUGAAAAUCUGGAACAGCAAGGAUGGGUGCAUUGCAUAAUUUGGUUUUGACUUCUUCAAAGGAUUUUUGGGCCGCUUCACUGCAUUUGAACUCUCCUUUCUUUAUUAACUCUAUCAUCGGGGCUGUGAUUGUUGAGAAGUUCUUGAUGAAGAUUCUAUAGAAAGAAGCAAGGCCAUGAAAGCUCCUAACUUGAUGAACAUCCCUUGGAACUAACCAUGUGGAAAUGGCCUUCACUUUCUCCGGAUCAAUCUGUAUCCUUUCACUAGGAACAAUGUAUCCUAGGAAAGAAAUACUAUUACACAUGAAAGUACAUUUUUCCAUUUUUCCAUACAACUUAUGAGUUUUCAAUUUUUCAAAUAAAUCUCUCAAGUGCAACAUAUGCUCACUUUCAGAUUUGCUAUAUACUAAAAUAUCAUAUAAGUAUACAACAAUAAACUUAUUGAGACAAGGUCGAAGUACCUCAUUCAUAAGUAUCAUGAACGAACUAGGGGCAUUGCAAAGUCCAAAUGGCAUGACAAGCCACUCAUACAACCCUUGUUUCGUUUUGAAAGUUGUCUUCCAUUCAUCACCUUCUCGAACUCUCAUUUAAUGGUAGCCACUCCUCAAAUUAAUCUUGCUGAAAAUUUUAACACCACUCAAUUUAUCAAACAUAUCUUGGAGCUAGGCAUAGGAAAUUGAUAUUUGAUAGUUAUGUUAUUGAUUGCACGACUAUCAAUAUACAUUCUUCAUGUUCCUUCUUUCUUAGGCACCAAAAGAGCACGAACAACACAUGGACUAAGGCUCUCACACACAUAACCUUUCUCCAUUAGUUCUUCCACUUGCCUUUGCAACUCUUUAGCUUGCUCGGGAUUGCAUUUAUAGGCUGCUUUAUUAGGCAAUGAGGCUCCCAAAAUUAAGUCAAUUGCAUGCUCAAUCCUAUGAAAAGGUGGUAGCCCUUUUGGUAAAUCACAAGAAAAUAAAUCAGAAAAUUCUUCAAGCAAAUGACUCAAAGACAAAGAGAUAGUGGCAUAGGGAACAACAUUAGAAAUGAGUUUAACAAGAAGUACAAACCCUCCUCCCUCCAGUGCACACACUCUUUUUCAAAUUCUUUCCUCGAAAUUAGAAAAUUAGGCCUCCUUUCCACCAUAGGUUCAACCUUAGGAGGCAAAGAUAACAAUCUAAUCUUUUUUCCAUCCGUGGUAGUAACCGUAUAUACAUUAGAGACACCAUCAUGUACAACAUCUCUAUCAAAUUGCCAUGGUCUACUAAGCAAAAUAUGACAUGCACUCAUAGGCAAUACAUCACACUAACGUUCAUCAUGAUAAUUGCCAAUUGCAAAUGAAACUUGACUUUCAAACCAGUUUCAUUAUUCAACCAAUUCAAUUUGUAAGGCUUAGCAUGAUUUCGAAGGGGAAGCUUAAGCUUACUUACAAGUUCUAUGGAAGUCACAUUCGUGCAUGAUCCUCCAUCAACAAUCACAUCACAUGUCUUAGCAAGAACCUUGCACCUUAUAUGGAAAAGGUUCUCUCGUUGCUGCAUGUCUUUGAGAGGUUCAGAAUGUAAGACUCUCCCAACAACUCCACAAAGAGGGUUGUCAUUUUCCUCCGCAUCAUACUCCUCAACAUCUUCAUUAUUACUUUCAGAUUCAUAGCCAUAAGAAUCCUCCUCUGUUUGAGUUGUUUGCAACAGUCAUUCGCAUAAACAUUAAGCUUAUUCUGUUCGAUCUUUCCCAAGCUUUAUAUAAAACUUUUUCUUCAUUGCUAAUUUCAUCAGUAAUAGUAGCAGGUUUCUCAAUUUGAAGUGCCAAAUCAAGAUCCAGAACACCUAAGUGAAACUAAACUUGUUCGCACCAAUCAGAAAAAUUAAAACUAUUAAAUAAUGAAACAGAUGAAGCAUGUGAAUGAAGAGAAACAUGUACAAAUACUACAAAUAAAAAUAACAUAGAAUACUUAUACAUUUAAUGCUUUAAUUCAUAAUGUUUCUUCCAUAAAUUCAAAUAUAAAUAUAAAAUAUAUCAAAGUCCUCCUUUGGAUGAUACUAAGAUAUACUUAUGUAAAUAAUUAUAGGUAAUUAUAUAUGCAUAACUAAAUUUAUUUUCUCUAUCUUUGGAUAUGUAAAAGUAAAAUUAUUACAACAUACUAAUCACUACGAUUAUAUUUAUCAAUUAUAAAAUAAUUAAUCAACCUUUGAACUGAUCUCUAAAUAUCUUGUAAUGAUAAAUUUUAAUUUACCCAUAAAUAUACAAAAAUCGUAAUGUCAUUUAAACAUAAAAUUUCUAAGUAAUUGAAAAUUAUAAUCUAUAAUUUCAAAUUUAUUUACUUUAAAAAUUUGGUCACUUUGGUGACAAGCAAAUCGUUCUUAACAUAAAUUUCAAAGUUAUAAUAAUAUAUUUAAAUAAUAUAUCUACUUUCAUUAAAUAUUUAACUUAAUUUCAAUUAAGCAUUAAUUAUUGAUAUAUAUUUAUGUAGCAAGAAUUAAAGAUGAAUCUGGAUUAAAUUUCUUUUAUUAGGACGAAACUGUAAAUUUUUUCAAACUUAAUUGAAAGAAUAAUAAUUUUACAUGCAAUCUGAUAAAUUAACAAAAUUUAUGGACCACAAUGGACCUUUAACCAAAAACACCAGAAAGUUUAGUUUUUUUAUAUAACAAUCUACAGUCAUUUUCUAAGUUACAUAAACAUUAAUUUAGUCCCGAAAUGUCAAAAACUUAAUCAUAAACCAUACACAAUUAAUCUAAGACAGCGAGGCAACAAAUUUACACAAAGUCAUGAAACUAAUAUCAACAAAUCUUAAAUUUAAUCCAAACCAUGCAAAAUUAAUCAUUUUAAUUUAUAUACUAAAACAAUGAUUAAUUCUUGCAUGCAUCCACGACAACAAUAAAUCCAACAAACUUAUAGAAAAACACGAUUUCUUAAACUUUACUCUGAUAGCACAUGUAAACUAUAAUAUCCCAUCGAUCUAAAACUUCAUGUUUUUCACUAUUAAAUAGAAAGAAGAAAACAUACAUUGAUCCAUGUUUAAUAGAAUGUGAUUUUUCUCCCUUUUCCCCUUAUCUUAUUGAUGGAUACUCUAAUCUUUUAGUUUUGUAUUUUGUAUAAUUUUUGAUGAUAUGGGUAGAGAGAUGACCAACUCUUAUUUAUAGACUAUUGGUGGCUUUCCAUCAAAGUACCAAUUGUUACAACCCUUUAUGUCAUAACAUUUACCAACAGUCAUAACUAUUAAGUUCACAAUCUUUUAUUAACGGUAUAAUUUAAUCAUUAAUAUCUUAUUAUAAUUAUGUGAGUCAUUAAUUUCUUACAGAAGAAUCCUAGUUCUUCUAUUGAUCUUUUAAUAAACAUGGUUGAGUUUUCAUCAAUCUUUUAAUGAAGAAAGUUGAGUUUUGAUUUUUGAUCAAACUCACCGUUUUCAUCUGCUCCAUGUCAGCAAUUCAUUUUGCUGAUAUGGCUCUUUUUCUUGUUUUUAAGUAGUUUUGGUGCCACGUAUGCGUGUUAUAAUCGGAUUUCACUUUCGAUUGCCAAAAUUUCAUAAUAUAGAAAAAUAUAUAAAAAAAGUGAUUAAUGUGAUAAAUUUAAAAGAAUUUGAUAAUUUACAAAAAAAAAAAGGGUCAAACUAUAGAAAUUUUUAGGCAGUUAGACCUCUAAAAGUUAAUUAUUUUGUUGAAUUUUCAACUCCUUUGUUAGUCUUAAAAUUAAGAUUGACAUGUUGAAAUAAAACUCAAUGUUAUUAUUUCAUUGGAUGAGGCAUUUAAUGACGUGGUAAAUUAACCUCAUCGAUAGCUACAGAUAUUUGUGAUAUGAUUUAUGCUUACAUCGUAGAGCAGUUACAUGCAAAUUCUUUUUUCGCUUAAUACAGAUUUAUAUUUUCUUAUAUAUAUCAAAUUAAUUAAUAAAAUAUAUAUUUAUUAAUUUUAAAUAAUAAAUAUAUUUUAAUUAUUUAAUAUUAAAAUAAAAAAUAUUUAUAUUUUAUGUGGUAAUUUUGUAUUUAUCGCAAUAUAUAUACUUAAAAUUUAUGUUUGAUAAUGAAACUUUUAUGAAUGUAAAGUAUAGAUUGGCACUCUUCAAAGUGAAUAAUAAAAUAUAAAAGUAUAAGAUAAAAUAAAUUUAUGCUUGUUGAUACUUUAAAUAGAAAAAUAAAUAUUUUCAAGCAGAUAUGUUAAAGAUAUAAACUGUUUUUGAAGUUUUAUUUAAUAGUUUAAACUUGUGAAUAAAAAGAUUGUUUUUAUAGACAUAAGUUUUAAUUUGACUAAUAAGUUUAUCAUUAUUUUAUGUUGCAGUAAGAAUAUUUCUAAAUGUGCUUUUUAUUUAAAAAAUUUCCAUUAAUAUUAAUACUUUUAUUUUUCUUUUUAAAUUUUAUAAAAUGAGAAAUUAAGAUUAAAAAUAUCAAUUAAUAAGCUAUAUAACAUUUUGGAAUUUAUUAAUUAAAAUGAGAACAUAGAGUAAAAUUUUGACGAUCGAAUAUAGAUAAUUAAAUUAGUUCUUUAGUUCUUUUAUAUUAAAUAAAUAAAUAACCGUUCAACUUUUAUUUUAAAAUUAUUGCUUAGUGGGGUAUAUCUAUGCACCUAUAUAUCAACUUAUAUACUAAAUUUAUAUAAAUAUAUAAUUGAUACGUGAUUUUAUAGAUUAGAAUGUGAUCUAUUUUGAGGUACUAUUCAUUUCUUUAGUUCAUGAUUUUAAAGUUUUCUCUUAAAGAAAGGAAAGAAAUUAUAUUAAAUUUUAUAAGACUCAAAUUUUUUAAUUUUAAGUCAAUGCAAAUUAUAAUAUUAUCAAAUCAAUAAGGAAGAAUAACAUUUACUCCAAAAUUCUCAAUAACUGAAAGAUAUUAACACUCUUUGUCUUCAUCUUUACUCUUAAGUGUUUGCAAUUAUGAUUUUCCGAAAUCAAUCUUCCUUGCAUUAAAACUGCAUAUGAUCUGUUCGUUUAUAUUUAUUGUUUUCAAAAGAGAAAAUAUUUUGUUAGGUUUUCAAGCACUUUGUGUUAGAGCUUGUAGUUUGUAGGGUGACACAGUCUCCCUUAUAAAAGUUUAUGAGAGGCCCAUUUGAACCUAAGAAAGCAAAUGAGAGGUUGACAGAAGCCUAAUAACUUUUUUGGAUUAGUUGGAUAUGAGAUAUUUCAAACUAUAUAAGGUAUUUUAGUAUCAGAACCUUGUAAGGCUUGAUAUAUAGCUGUUAAUAGAGUCAAAUAGUGGAGACAAUCUUAAAGUGCAAUUUUUAGGGACUGAAUGUAGGUCUUAGUAUCAAACUAAGAUAAAUCUUUGUGUUAAUCUCUAUAAACUUACAAUUGCUAUAUACUUUAUUAGUCGUCUAUUACAUCUAUAUAUGAGAAUUUACUAUUCAGACGUCUAACUAUUUUCAAAAAGGUACAUGAGACAGCUUUCUCCAUGCAUCAUCUUACUUCUAUGAUCUAUAAGUGCUUACAAGUUACAUCAGUUGAGGUAUUAAUUAAAAUAUGUAGUUAUCUAACAAGAUGCUUUUUUAGCUUAGUUAGAUAUAUGUGCAACUUUAAACUCACAUUAGAACUUCUAUAGAAUUAUCUCUAAGCAUUUGAUAAACCAGUAAGGUAUCUAACUAGAAAAGCAUCUAUUUUGCACCUUCAAUAUAAAUAAUUUUUGAGGUAUACAGUACACAUAAUGAGUUUAUUUCACGUGUAUAUGAUAUUUUAAUUUUUAUCAAAUUUCUUUCAUUUAGAUUUUAAAAUCAUCAUUUAUAUUAUCUUAUAUAUCGAUAUGGACAAAAUACUUGUUAAUCUUAUUGGAAAGAAAAUAUGAAGUAUGUAAAUUUUGAUGUAACAAAUAUUCUCACACUGAAGGGCAACAAUUUUCCAAAUUUUCUGAAAAUAAUGUCAAAUUAAAUCAAAAUUAAAAAGAGCAAACAAGAAUGGAGAUUCAAUAUCAAGUUUAUUUCGAGUACACAAAGGAUAUCAUCAAAGUAUAUUAUAAGUACAUAACAGGCUUAUAAAUUUAACAGUAUAUAAUACAUUCCGAUUACAUUAUGAGUAUAUAAUAAGUAUAUAUUACCAUUUCUGAAUUUAUUAAAAUAUAUACAAUUGUUGUACAAGUACUAUAGAUUCUAAUAAAUGAGUUUAACCACUAAUAAUAGCUAUUAACUAAUUAUAAAAACUAAAUAUAAAUAUUAAUUCAUAAAAUCAUGUCAUGAAAUUGAAUCUAAAAACUAUUGCUAUUAAAUUUUUUUUGCAUCAAAGUUUAUGUAUCUUAUAUUUCCUUUUCAAUUUUUAUUGUCGUGAAAAUAGAUAUUUUAUCCAUACACAUAUAUAUAGAUAUAUAUCUUGUGUGUGUAUGUCUGCAUGUAAAUAUAUAUAACAUAUAUUUGAAAUAUACUUGUUAUAUACUUAAUAUAUAUUUUUCACUAUAUGCUUUAAAAGUUAUUCUAUAUUUUAAAAGAAAAAUAACUUUUCCAUAUAAUAUAUUACCACAAACUUACUAAAUUUUAAAAAUAUAUAUUUAUAAUAAUACCUAUAUAUAUUUGAUAUAUACUAUUUCUUAAGAUUUUUACAAAAUGGAUCUAAAUACUUAGUUUUUUGUAAAUUUAAGUUCUAAAAUACAAUACUCAUUUAAAAGUUAUAUGAUAUGAUAUUUUUGACGAAUUUUGAUAUAAUAAAAUUUGAACUAACAGAAAAUUAAUUAAAUAAAAGUUUAAAAUUGAAUUUAUCUUAUAAAAUUGAAAAAUUAAUGAAUUUACCUUCAAAAGUUUUUGAUAAAAUAUUGUUAAAUUAUUAAUGAGAUAGUUGUUAGAUUUGUUACAAAUUUUUUAGAAUUAAGAGUUUAGAUCGGAAUUUAUUUUGAAAAUAAAUUUAUAAUUUUUGUUGUUAGCGAUCAACUAAAGAAGACUGAUGCAACCAGAGAGAGAAAAAUGAUAGUUAAAAUUGUUCUGAAAGUAAUUCAAAGAAAGAAAAGAAA
rnacentral:lncRNA from 1 species